rfam:Trichobilharzia regenti genome assembly, scaffold: TRE_scaffold0020183
GUACUGAUGAAGAGUCCCAAAGUAGAACAAAACGGCUGUCCAGUAC